CUUCGAUCCUGCUACGCCACCGCCACCGCCACCGCCACCGCAACCGGCUCCGUCACCCUCACCAUCACCGGCACCACCAUCGUUACGACCACCGGUCCGCCUCCGCCGUGACAUUGACGUUUUACAUUGCUAAUUAGGUUUUAAGUUUCUCGUCUUAAUUUCUUUUCAAAUUCGAGUUUAGUCGCGAUUUGAUUGUCAAAUUUGUAUCCAUCCGACUUCACCAGACACUGAAUUUUCUCAAUCGCGAUUUGAUAUCCGAUUCUAGGUGAACACUUUUCUCCUUCCAUCUUCAAUUUAUGUUUUGGUUAAUUUCCAGUAAUCCAAGUUUUGUGAAUAAAUGAGUUUGAAGUAAACUUCAAUUAGGUCACUUUUCACUGAACAUUUAAGCUCCUCGCAACUUAAUCCUUGCAAAUCCAAUGAGUGCGCUGCUUGUAGAAUGUAUGAAUGUAUGAAGCAUUCUUUUGAUACUUGGGUAAUUGAAAAUGUGAUAGCUAGCUGGUUGGGUUUCAGAGAAAAUGACAAAAUUAUGAAAUGUGGAACUGAAUGACUUAGUUUUAGCCUCUCUUUUCUUGUCUUUGUUGUUUGUUAUCCUUAUUGCUAGAAUUUAAUUUCCCAAACAGUUUUUGGGGAUUGGAGAUAAUGUAGAAUCACUAAUCAGCUAGUGGUAUACUUUUCAGUUAUCUUUAUUCCAUUUUUAUUUUAAUGGAGUUUUUUUUUUCUUCUUAAAAUGCCUCGGUUGGGAGAUUUCACCUGGCUCUCUUUUCAGGUUAUUGACACCAACUUAGAUUAUUGGAAACUGGGUCCUCUCGGGUAUACUUUGGUUAUAUUCCAUCCGUUUCUUCUCCUUUUUGUGUUUGUGCGAAGUGUUUGAGUUAGUUCCCUUGCUCUACCUUUUAUAUCUCUCUCACUGACUAAUGUCCCUGCAAAAGCAUCACGAAGGGCUGAAUAUGGAAGGUUACCUAGUAUUCUCUUGCUUUACCCACUAGGGAAUUGGCCACACAUGUACAAUGUCUUUUUUAUUUAUUGUUAAUGCCCAUAUUUUAUUUAUUAGUGCCUAAGUUAAACUGCUUAUUUGUUGGUUACUAAUUUUAUCAUUGAAAUUUGAAGGUAAGGUAGAUUAUGUUAGUAAAGUUCCAAUACUUCUUGUCCGUGCCACUUUGUCAGUCUGCAUUUUAAAAAGUAAUGUGGUAUCCUUUUCAUGGAGUAUUUUGUGUGGUCUAAUUGCAGGGACAUCCUUUAUUUUUUCUCUGAAUAAGACAUGACUCGUAAUGCGAGAUGUCUGCUACAGUUGUUCCUUUGUCAUUUGCCAAACCCCUGUCUUGCCUUCUCAUAUUGUUGCUAACUCGCUCUUUUCGACUGUUAUUUUCACAUACAUGAUGCAACUAAAACAUCUGUGAAGAAGACUAGUUGAAUAAUGCAGCACGGAUUGGCAUCAAAUUGUAAAAUUGCUAUUUCAUGCUACCUAUAUUUUAGUAGGAUGCAUAUUAUAGAUUGUGUUAAGCUCAAAACUAGCAUUUUAUUUUCCACGUGUUGAGCCUAAUCAGUUGCAAAGAUACAAACUUUCUUCUAUCGCAGUUAAUUUCAUGUUUCUCAAAAAGAUUUGAAAACCGUUUGCAGGGGUACGCAACUUAAGGAGGCACUACAACUGCAACUAGACGUUCAAAAGGAGUCUUUAUGAGCAACUAGAGGUUAUUCAUUGUAGCUGAGGUGGACGAUAAAAUUUUAUCAUACUUCCAGGUAUCAGUAUUGCUUUCAACCCAGUUUCCAGUUCUGUUUUUGUUCUCACAGGGUUAUGAACCAUGGAAAAUGCAUACAAUAGAGAAUGCCUUUCAGGAGAAUCCAGCUGUAGUUGCUGAUAAACUUUCAUAUUCAAAUAAUUCUCUGAGUAAGGUCUUGAUUGGAUGAUUCAAGAAUUCUGGCCUUGCAUAGACUUUAGAAGUGAAUGUAAAUUCAGAUGUAUAGACUUUAGAAGUGAAUGUAAGUGUCGUUUUAAACAUAAAUUUCAUGAAGUUUGGUUUUAUAUACUUUUGGAAAACAAGAAUUCAUGUAUUUGGGGAAUCCUAGUGAUUUUUGGCAUCUGUAUAUGUUCGUGUUGGGAAAUUAUAAUAAUUUUUGGCAUGCAGCUACAUUUUUUAA